rnacentral:rRNA from 1 species
AUUGAACGCUGGCGGCAUGCUUUACACAUGCAAGUCGAACGGCAGCGCGGGCUUCGGCCUGGCGGCGAGUGGCGAACGGGUGAGUAAUACAUCGGAACGUGCCCAGUAGUGGGGGAUAGCUCGGCGAAAGCCGGAUUAAUAACGCAUACGACCUGAGGGUGAAAGCGGGGGAUCUUCGGACCUCGCGCUAUUGGAGCGGCCGAUGGCAGAUUAGCUAGAUGGUGGGGUAAAGGCCUACCAAGGCGACGAUCUGUAGCUGGUCUGAGAGGACGACCAGCCACACUGGGACUGAGACACGGCCCAGACUCCUACGGGAGGCAGCAGUGGGGAAUUUUGGACAAUGGGCGAAAGCCUGAUCCAGCAAUGCCGCGUGUGUGAUGAAGGCCUUCGGGUUGUAAAGCACUUUUGGCGGGAACGAAAAGGACUGUGCCAAUACCACGGUUCGAUGACGGUACCCGCAGAAUAAGCACCGGCUAACUACGUG